rnacentral:lncRNA from 1 species
CAGGACGAUUGCCUGCAAGACAGGGCCUGGAGGAGGCCAGGGAACCCAAGGCCACAGAAAUGCCCAGGGAUGAGUCCCAGCUGGAGAUGCCUUGGCUAAGCUGACUGUGCACUUCCAGGGCUCACAGGGUGUCUUCCUGGUACUACACAUGAAGAUGUCCCGCUCUCCCCUGCUCAAGGAGAGAGUGCCUGACCUGAGCUGGGCCCAUCAGAUCCAGUACUUACCUGGAAUACGAAAAAGAUGGAGAGAGUGACCAAAGAUUACAAAAAUCUCUGAAGCUUAUCUACUUGAGAGAGAGUCCCUGAAGAUACUGGCCUCUCAUUCCUGCUAUGUAUAUCCAAUGUGACUGAACUCUGAAUAAAAUAUACAAGUUAU